rnacentral:rRNA from 1 species
GAACGGGUGAGUAACACGUGGGUGAUCUGCCCUGCACUUUGGGAUAAGCCUGGGAAACUGGGUCUAAUACCGAAUAGGACCACGCGCUUCAUGGUGUGUGGUGGAAAGCUUUUGCGGUGUGGGAUGGGCCCGCGGCCUAUCAGCUUGUUGGUGGGGUAAUGGCCUACCAAGGCGACGACGGGUAGCCGGCCUGAGAGGGUGACCGGCCACACUGGGACUGAGAUACGGCCCAGACUCCUACGGGAGGCAGCAGUGGGGAAUAUUGCACAAUGGGCGCAAGCCUGAUGCAGCGACGCCGCGUGAGGGAUGACGGCCUUCGGGUUGUAAACCUCUUUCAAUAGGGACGAAGCGCAAGUGACGGUACCUAUAGAAGAAGCACCGGCCAACUACGUGCCAGCAGCCGCGGUAAUACGUAGGGUGCGAGCGUUGUCCGGAAUUACUGGGCGUAAAGAGCUCGUAGAUGGUUUGUCGCGUUGUUCGUGAAAACUCACAGCUUAACUGUGGGCGUGCGGGCGAUACGGGCAGACUAGAGUACUGCAGGGGAGACUGGAAUUCCUGGUGUAGCGGUGGAAUGCGCAGAUAUCAGGAGGAACACCGGUGGCGAAGGCGGGUCUCUGGGCAGUAACUGACGCUGAGGAGCGAAAGCGUGGGGAGCGAACAGGAUUAGAUACCCUGGUAGUCCACGCCGUANACGGUGGGUACUAGGUGUGGGUUCCUUCCUUGGGAUCCGUGCCGUAGCUAACGCAUUAAGUACCCCGCCUGGGGAGUACGGCCGCAAGGCUAAAACUCAAAGGAAUUGACGGGGGCCCGCACAAGCGGCGG